UUCAUCAGGAAGAAAAGGGAUAAAACGAAAUUGCUUACCUCUUCUGUUGAUCAUCAGGUCAUUGUAACCGUCCACGAAAUUUUUGAUGAAAGACAUAUCUACGGAAAGUUCGAUAGGAAUUUAAAAUCAAGUCGAAGAAAACUUAAAAAUAGAAAAGGUAAGACUUCGAUGUUAACGGAAUACUUUGAUACAUUACACUCACUUUAGUCCUCACACGCGUGUGAUCCGUGAUGGCAACUGAAUCAAACGGAUCCGUUUCCUUUUCUUUAUAUAUAGGCCAGCCGGGGGCAUGCAACCUCAAUAAAAAAACCAUUUUUUUUUUCUAACCAGUUUUCAAAGUUUUCCCAACCCCAUAGGAAGCACCUAAAUCAAACUCGUUUCGAAAUGAAAGCCAAAAUAAUUCUGUAACCCAUGCAAACAGGAACAUGUUUUUUUUAUAUUUUUUUAUUGUUUUAUUCUUCCCCACUUUGUUACGCGCAAAUCCUGUAAUCAAUGCUAGAAAGUUAACCAGUUUUCUUUAUUCUUCGAGUCCAGAUGAACCCUUUACAGUGUAUUCUAACGGGUUCCAAGUUUUGCGUUAACUUAACCAUUACCAGAAAGCGUUUUCUACUUGUGCUUUAUUUUGGCGAACGAACUCACACUCGAAGGCGUAAUUUUUGAAAUCUUCUGAUUGAAAGAAGACGCAACAGCUGUGAUGGCGUAUUUGUUUCAUUCGAUCUUUGCACGAGUUAACUUUUCCGGUUUCUUCUUAACCAGGGCAACCAGUCGUCGUGUAGACACAAAUUUGUGUCACCCAUCACGGUGGCCACCAGAAGCAAUAGAAGGCUAUGUCGCUGUUGAGCAAACACCAAUUUCAGCAACUAAAUGCCCCACUUGAAUGUCGAGUUCUACUGUUGCCAACGAAAAUUAUGUAACUAGGUAAUUUUUUAAAAAUUCAGAGAACUAAAUAACAACAGCAGAUCGAAACCCGUUGAAUGAAGAAAAACCGGGGCAUUUCGGGUGAGAAUCAUCAAUCAACAAGAAAACCAAGAUGUUUGACUUCCAAACGGAUAAAUGUAAACCCAAGAAUGUCAUUCCCUGAAACAGGAUUGCUUGGCUUCACUAAAAAAUGAUUGAAGUUUGGAGCCUUUCCAUUAGACUGGAUUGCGGAAAUGAAUUGGAUGCAUAAUUUCGAGAAAAACAACAAUUUUGCACUUCCCGGAAGAAAAUGGUUAUUGCCAAAUUAUCGAGUCCAAAUCGAAAAAAUGGAACUGGCAAUCCUGAUAUUCAGCUUUUGUUAAUUACCGGAACAUCUCUGAUCGUGGACGUAUUUUUGGAAAAAAAUUUACUGUCGUCUCAUCGACCGUCUCUUCGAAGCAAACCUACAAUGGCGUGAAUUUCAACCAAACGUGCAACGGAGACUUUGUCGAACAAUGGACUCGAAAAUGCCAAUGCUAUCCGUCAUGUUUCACAACUGGAAUGGUGGAAAAAAAAUGAAUAGUUCCCUAAGCCUAUUGGAAAACACCAGAGCGUGUCAGGAAUAUCGAGAUCCUUAUAACGUAUGACCGAAACCAUCAGCCGGAUGUGGAAGAAGAUUUUGUUCGUCAGCAGAACUCUGCAAGAUUCGACACAAGCCCAUCAUUAUGCCAAGCUUUUCCUGCAGUUGGAAAAGGAAAAUGAUUCGGCUAACCGAAAACAUAACAUGUUUUUCAGAGUAUUGCAGCUCACUGUCGACAAAUCCGACCACCUACUGAUUUCAUCAGUAAAAAUCGGCGUAACUACUGAAAGGGAUAAGAACAAUUGCACAGUGAUGAAAGCUAUUACUAAUGGAAAAUAUGGUGAGAAAGGUGGUCGAAUAGUCCAGAAAAAGCCUGUAGAUGUGUUUACAUGCAGUUGGAAGAAAUCAAGUCAGAGAUUGAUUGCUGCACUUCAUUUUAACCACAGCUGUGGUUUCUGCUAGAUCCAUCGUUAGAGCAAGUUUACAAGAGUUUAGUAUCAUUUAUGAAUUGUAGGAUGUAAAGCCGAUAAAUGCAAAACCUAGGAGAAAUGGACGAGAACGAUUUGACAUCUCAUGUUCCUGGAAAGAAGCUCUCGAACUCAGGAUGUAAGGUGUGAUGUAUUUUAUUUUGGUGCCCUUUCCCUUUGGAAUUCUCAAGAAAAAAAGGGGUAGGUAACUCAAACCAAACAAAAAUGGAAAUGUGUCCAAUGAUGGAGAGCGAUGGAAACAAAAUAUCUCAUUUACUCUGCAGUCGGCAUUUCCCUUCACUUUGAAGAUUUAUUCGGAUAAAAAGGUAAUGUUGCAUUGCAUGAUGAUGGGGAUAAAGUAGAUAGAAGAUGGCAUUCCAAUUCAUUGCAAAACUGAUUUUUUUUCUUGUUUUUCAUCAUUUAUUUCUAUCGAAUCAGAGAUCAAGGUCUAUGAAGAGUUGAAAAGUUUUGGGUUCAAACCUACUGUUGUGGUAAAGUUAAUAACAAAAUGCUUAUUUUUUUUUAAAUUAUGUUACUCAGUAUCAAAAUUGUCGUGGACGGAAAAUAUGAA